UCUUAAUCUCAGCAAUAUUCCUAACACUCUUCACAAGUUCAUAACGACAAAGAAAACGAAAGAAAGGCUUACCUGGAAAAUGGAAAACUCUCACUGUCGGCGUCGCAACCUCGAAUCCCUCCGUGUAACAACCGCGCGCUGCUACUCGUAGUCGAUUAGUUUUUCCGUGUGUUGAUCGAGAUGAAAAUGAAGCUCCGCGCCCGUGCGUUGCUGAUUGUGAUGAAGAACGAAGAUAUGUGUUCAUGUGCGUUGCAUCGAAGGAUGAAGGAUGAGGAUUCGUGAUGAAGAUCGAGGUGUCGCGUUCGUGUCGCUGAUGGUGAAUCUUGAUGAAGGUUCAAGAAUUAUUGUGUGCGACGUCGAUGAAAAGUCGAUCGUUGACGAUCCGUCGCGAGGUUGUCACGAUUCGUUUGCAUAUUACUGCUGCGUGUUGAGGAUCAUUACGGUUGUUCUGAUAUAAAGAGUGAUGCCGAUCGCGAAACUGCUUCCUCCGGCGAAAAAGCGGACAUGUGAGUUUUCUUACCUUAUUGAUAUCCUUCAGCUAUGAGUUCUUCUUCUUCUUCUUCUUCUGCUUUUGAGUUUUCUUUUUCUGUGGUGUUGCUGUUGUCUUAUGGGGUUUGUUUCGGCGAAUGUUGGGAUGAUAGGUCGAAGGAAUCUUGCCGGUAGGGUUGUUAGCAGGGUGAGGAGAAGCUAUGGAGGCUGGGGUUGUUGGUUAUGAUGGAGGACUCAGUUAGGUGUGAUGGUGGAGACGAAUGGUGAGGAAGAUGGCUCAUGGUUGAGAAAGUGAGAGAGGUUGAAGAAUUUGUGAAUUCUUGAAUUAUGGGAAAGAUGAUGGAGCUUGAAUUGAAGAUGGAAGAUGGUUCUUAUAGGAGAGUAAGGUUAGAGAGAUGGUUGGAAGGAGUUCGUUCUAUAGAAGGAUGAAGGUGGAAGAUGGUUUGAGGGGAUAAGGAUGGAGGGUUUUUUGUGUGAGAAGAAAUGUGAUGAAAGGUGGUAUGAAAAUUGAACCCCCCUAUGAGAGAGUGAAGGUAAGCUUUUAUAGAUUUCUGAAUUUCUUUCUCUUCUCAUUCUGUUGUGGACUUUCGGUUAAAAGUCGUUAAGAAUUGGUUAGGGAUGGUUAUGAAUCGGUUAGGCUUAAUGUGGAUUUCUGUUAGAAGUUUUGUUAGAGGGUUGUUGACAGUUGGGGGUUGGUUAGAAAUCCUGUUAGAGUUCAAAAGCAGUUAGAAAAAUUGGUUACCGUUUGGAGUUAGUUGGUUAGGGGUUGUAGUUGGUUAAUAAGCGGUUAGAAGGUUAUCACUAAUGGUUGAAGAGUGGAGAGGGAGAAGAAGAGGGUGAUGGAGUUGUUCGUAGUCCCUUGGAUAUCGGUUGAAGCCCCUCUUAUAUCCAUUGGAGAUUGAACUUGUUAUUCUGUUUUGCAGGUUGAGGAAAACAAAUCAGAAGAGGGUGGUUCAGUUUGGUUCCUGUUGGAGCAGUUCUCGUUAUGGCGGUUGGCCGUUAUGAGCGUUUUUUAUGCAGGUUUUGUAUUGGAGAGGUUCUUAUGAAGUUGAAGGUUUGUUAGCAAAAUUCAGUUGGGAAUUUUGGAAGGUUAUUUUCAGGUUUUGUUCGUAAUAUUCCCAUUUUCUUUGGAGUUCUGUUACUCUUUUCCUUUCCCACUUCCAUGGUCUGUUUUCUCCUAUCAUAAUCUCCCUUUUUUUAUUUCCUGCAGAGUUUCCCUCAGUUUUGAUUGUUGUUGCUACGGUUUGAUGGUUGCAUUGUUCCGAAAUGAACCGUGACAAGAGUUCAUUUGCCUGAAGCAUAUCAUAUGUCCGCAGGUAGGUGGGGAACGUUUCACACCGGUCAUGCAUAACACCUUUUCUCCUUCACCAGUGCGACAUUCAGACCCCCCGUGAUUAGAUCACAUGUCCGUAACAUUCCGAAUUUGUUCCGUAUUGCAAUCUAGUAUGUGCUAGAUGUCCCACUUAUACAUGAUGCAGGCGGCUUACGGUAAGGUCGAACUUCAUUCCCUUCCUUAAGUAGUUGAAUAGUAGGCUUGGAAUUGCUUGAAAAUUACAUAUUCUAGUAAUGGCCAUAUAUGAUUUUUGGUUUGGACUUUGGACUGAGUUGUUGUCUCUACAGGUUAUGAAACUCUUUAUUGGUUGCCGUGGUUAAUUGAGUUCAAUGAAGUGCAUCGGCUAUGGAACCUUGAAACACAUUGGCUGCCAUAGUGGAACACUUUGAUUUUGAUUGCUCGUGUUUUGGACCUUGAAGAUGUAUGUGAAAUUUUGUAAUUGGUGUUGAAUGGUGAAAUUUAAUUUGGAAAUUGAGAUUAUCACGAAAUUGAUGUAUUAUGGAAAUUGAAAGUAUUGAACAUGAUUAUUGAAUCAAAUGGUAUAUGUAUUGUAAUUUCACAAUGUCGUGAUCGUGAAUGGAUUGAAAAAUCAAAUUGAAAUGAGAUUGUUUGUUGUUUGAACUUUGGUUAUGGGAUUUUGAUAGUGAUUUUUGGAAUUGAAGAUUGUAUGGACAUUGAAUAGCCUGGGCAAAUAGUUCAAUGACGGAAAUGAAUGUUGGAAAUGACAUGAACUGAAAAAUGGAUAUGGUUCGGGACCGAUUUAUGAUGCUCGAAUGACUUAAAUGAAUAAAAU
rnacentral:lncRNA from 1 species